UUUUAGAGUGCCAUUAUUCAUGAUCUAAAAAAUUUAAGUUGCUAUGUGAAAACAAAAUAAUUUUCAGCCAACAUUUGGAUAUUUCAAGUUUGUCUUACUCCUGGAUGUAAAGAACAGAGAGAUGAGUCAUGUUAACAUGAGCAGCCUUUUGCUAUGGUUCAUAGUCUGUGCUACCGGAAUAGAACUCAAACUCAGAAGACUGAAAGUAUACUUCUUUUCUCUUGGUAUUUUCAAAUGAAUGUUUCCAUUAUAUCUUAAAUGGUGUUUGUCAUUGUGCACCUUACAUCUUGAGCAACCUCAUAUAAUAUAUUGUUUCUCAGGAGAACGCAUGAUAUGUCACAGAUCAGCCUGACAGAUUUUAAAUUGUUUUGGUGGUUCUUAAAACUGUACUAUCUUAACACACCAUUAGAAGCCAUAAAAUCCUAAAGAGUGGUUUUGAUGAGGAUUCUGAUUUCACACAUGUUUUAGAAAGCUGUUAUUGCAUUCAUUUCUGUCAGGACCACCCAGCAUAUCUUCUUUUAAGUCACAUGUAAGCUUCUGUUAUGCCUGCUGGAUUUGCACUAGCUGCAAUACUAUGCAGGCAGCUCACAUAUCCUCUGUGGCUUAUGGUACUUUACCAAAUUAGUUGUGACUUUAUGAAGAUGAACUCCCCAGCUAUGUCUAUAUUAGUAAAUUAAACAGUGUUCAGAAAUGUCUCCAGGCACUAGAACAGUUAUCUGUACUGUACGCAUUUAGAAGGACCCUGGUACAAUUUGUGGCAUAUACCAACUAGCAUUCUCCCCAGCAAUUCCCAGACACAGAUUUGGAGUUGGGAUGUUUUAGAGGCCAUUCCCAGCAGGCAGUUUGCCUGCUGUCACCCUGUUUUGCAAAGCCAGGCAGUUUACUAACAUAGAUGCAGACCAUUGCAUACCUGUUAGCCUUGAUGUCCAGGAAUGUUCUUGGGCAUAUUUCAUUUAUUACUAUGGUUAUAACUCUAAUUUUCAGACUCAGUGAGUAUCUUCAUCCUGACACAUUUAUGAACUUAAAUGGACACUAUCAACCUCAAAAUUAUAUUCCUCAUCUAUCUAUUUUUAGAAUAUUGUCUUUUUAUUCGUUUAUUUGACUGUAAUUUUUGUGUUUUUUCAUGUUAUCUCAUUUUUUAAACAGUUUGGUAAAUGUUAUACGUUAGAUGUUAUAGAACUCACAAAAUUGCUAACAUAAAGUAGGUGUAAUUAUUAAAAAUAAUUAAAUACCAGUAAUUCAUUAGGAAAGGUCAAAAAAGAUACCUAACAACUACACUGUUCCUCUUUACAGUACUCUCAAGCCCUCUUCUUCUUAGGAUAUUUUUUAAAAAAGAGCUGCUUGAAGAAGAUGUAGAUUCAUUUUUGCUUGUUCUCCAUUUUUCUGCUCAUUGCACUGUAACCUAAUAGUCUAGAAAAGGCAGGAGUGUUUGUGCCAUCAGCAUAAUUUUUACCCUGGUAUCAUAAGAUAUAUACAUUCAUUAAACCACCUUCAAAAUCUUCUGUUCUACCUGCAAUGGCAAAUGUGUAUAUUUAACUAUCAGUGCUUUUCCUCCCGGUUAUAUUAAAACUCAUCUUGAUUACUGUCUUACUAUAACAACACUUUAUAUGAAAUUCUAACUACUUGGAUCUCAACAGGGAGUUUUAAUUAGUGCCAAAAAUGUUCCGUUUUUGUCUUUUCACAAUACUGUCCUACAACCAGCAGAUGAAAGGUUUAAAUUUUAAUGUGUACUCCAGCAUACUGCUUUGAUAUUGUGUUGUAAAUACUACAUAGGCAGUUUGGGCUUAUUAUUGUGAUUCACUUUAUUACUGUACAUACUUUUUAAAAAAUAGCUUUCUAAAAGCUGAGAUAGAUUAUGGCCAAGAUUCAUCUAGGUAUUUGUCUGUGAUACAUCUCUCAUUAUCAUUUUGUUUCUUUCAGCAUUUUUCUUCUAUCUUUCAGCAAGUUCACAUUUUGUGAUAUCCAUGUUUGCUCCCUUUGAAUAUCAGACCUACAUAUCAGAUUGCUUUCUAAAUUUGACAUCAACUGUAAAGUCUGCUACUUUUUGCUCUUGCUCACACUGUAGACGUUACCCUAUUAGUGUUGUAAACUCUUCAGAGCAGGAAACAUCUUAUUCUCUGCUCAGUACUUUGUACAGUGACUUCACAACUCAUGACCAGUGCUUCUAGCCGCUAUAAUAGUAGGAAAUAAAUAUUUUUUAACAGUUUUUUUUAAUUUUAUUUUCCUUUGGUCCAGUAGAAAGCAAAUGAACUGGAAUCUUCUGGCUCUCCUUAUCAUCAUGAGCUUUGCUAUGAUUGUCUGCACUACAGUCCAAAAGUGUGAUUUCAGAGCUCACAUACGCCUACUUACCCAGCACAAAUUAGUUUAUCCCUCACAGCAGAAUUGUUGAAUCCCAGGUUUUAUCCAGGGGGAUAUCCUAAGUACGUACUUGCUGUUUAAAUCCGUGGUGUCACAAGUACAGCGCUGUCAGCAGCUGGGCUACCUGGCUACGUCUGCAUAAGCUGAGGUCACACAUCUGGACAACCAUUUGACAGAUCCUUGUCAUGCUGCUUAGCCCAUGAAUCACUUUGAAUUCCUUGCAUGUCUCAUUGUGUUACAGAAAUCACACACACAGGGUGCCUCACACUUCAUUUACUCUUCUGCAAGGCUUCAACAGUACGACAUGCUUUGCAGGUGGAGGAGUGUGGGUGUAGACAAUACCCUGUACUUCAAUUGCAGAAUCUUUCCCCACUAUUGGCAAUGCCAGAGCCAGAAAUGAGUCAACUUUUCUUUAAGAUGCCAACAAAAGUCUUAAGCAUUGUUAUUUAAAGUCAUAGCAUUUUAAAGUUGAACCAAACCAAUGUGUAAUGCAAGCCACAGAGGCCAGGCCAGGCCACGACGUAGCAGGGGCCAAGCACUGGGGCCAUGGCUGGAAGGCCACUCAUGGGAAGGGGCCACCCUUGGCUUUGCUAGCUCAGGGCUGGCCCUGAGCCCCGGCCACCAAACCCCCCAGAGGGGGCUGCUCUCAAGUGAAUGGCACAGGAUGACAAGCUAAUGAAUCUAAGUUCAUUAUGACCAUAGUGGCUCCUUUUCUUGUUCCAGUUGUUAAAAUCCUCCAGAAAAUAAUAACCUGGAUAUCUGUGUAGUUUACAUUAUAUGGAUAAUUUUCCAUGAACCAUUUUGUAUUGGUGAUGUCAAAGUGAUCUUCUUACAAGUUCACAGAUGUGGAUGCAGUGACCUAUUUGCUUGUAUUCUUUCUGACACAGACUGGGUAUAGUAGAGAUCAUUUUAUUGGAGAUUACUGGAGAGUAGCUAUAGCAGGUAGUAUUUUCUAUUGCAUUUCUAUUGUAUUUCUGUUCUCUUUAGGAUAUAGGUACCAGUGUGAACAUUUUAAGCAUUUCUACUCAGGAAUCAUUUUCUAGGGUACCUGCCAUUUUUCUUGUCUUUUCUUUCUGUGAGAGUCUAGCUCUUUUAACAUUAUUCAGAUGUAUACAAAGUAUAGCAAUUUAAUUCUUGUUUGUUUUGCCUAUAUUUCUGUAAAUUAAUUUCAAACUUAAUCAUAGGUUUCUACAUAUAAAGUUCAUUGGACUAUGCUUGCUAGCAGAAAGCGGACAAUUUCCACAAAAUAUCACAUCCUUACAAGUCAGCUUCUGUUCACAUUCACAGAUGAGAAAACGAGCUUUUAGAUGAAAAUCUGUGUUUAUUAUUAACAAAGCAAGAUAUUAGUUGAUUAUUCUAAUACUCAAAUUUAGGAAAAUGUAGAUAGAUGAGUUGCUGGUUUUACUCAUGGAUCUAAGUGUAUUAGUUUGUUAUCCUUGCUAUUUCAUAGGCACUCUCCAAGGUCAGUGGAGGGAAAUAUCUCCAAUUUAUCCCAUGCUAAAAUAAUUACACUUUUACUCUAAAAGCCUAGCCUUUAUAUGACUAAAAUUAGGGGAGAUCAAUCCCACUCUUUGCAAAACCAACAUUUUGAAAGUCAGUGAUGGUACUCAGCUUCUUUAGUAGGCCCAGAUCCUGUACAAUUUCCAUCUCCAAAAGUCAUAGACCUCUUUUAUGUUGGCUAGUUAUCCCAGUGAACUGUUGAAGACAGGAAGCUGUUGUGGGCAGACACCUUUCAGCUGUCUCUGCAAUACACAUUAUAGGCAGCAAAGACAUUCCUUAAGUAUAUCUGCAUGGAAAGUUAGUGUGAAAUAGCUUUUGCCUGUUGGUUUAUUUUGCGAUGCUGUUUUUGACCACCACUGUUCAAAGCCUACCAUAUAACAUGGAAUAAAAAUUGCUCUAAGAAAAUAUCAGUAUUGCAUGUUACAGAGCUCUGUCCCAAUGAAAAAUUACCUCAUUAGGUAAUAGUGAUCUCUACUGCAGUGGCCGGGGAUGAGAGCAAUGUUUACAUCACAGCUGUGACUGAGUGUUGAGUAAUAAGGCAGAAAACUUCCGAACUCUGUGAGUCACCAAAAUUGAGUGGUGUGAAGAUCCUUGGGGCCUAUUUGGAAAGGAGGGCAUGAAGCAUUUCAGAAUGUUUCUGAUCACUCCUGUAAUCAUAUUGAAGUGAUACAGGAGCUUCUUGUAAUCAACAGUUUCUUCUACAUCAGAUACAUCAUGUAUGAUGAGCAUAGAAAUUUUCUUCCUCACUAACAGAAGCAGCCAACCACCAACAGAAUGUAAAUCUGUUUCCUUUUUGAGGUUGGGUUUUCCAGGGGUUUUGGUUUGGGGUUUAAUUUGGAGGGUAGGAAGUUUCCUACAAAAAGAUUUGAGAACAUUUGAUCUUAUUUCUGAAGCAAAAUACUGUCUUUCAGUAAAAGGUCAUGUCUACUAUAAUUGCAGGGAGAUUUCUGAGUUUGAAAAUUGAUACGCAGUAAAAAAAAUUAAUAGCCUUUGAUAUUUCUACAACUUUUGUGGUAACAAUACAGGUUUACAGAAAUCCUCUGGUAAACAUUUCUUGCUAUCAGGUAGUAUUCACAACACUGAAUCUUGAAUUUUCUUCCUUUCUAUUCUUGGAUGCCUUAAGUACACUAACACACUAGCAGAAUAUAUUUAAGGAAAGUAGUUAGCUCCUCUCUGUUAUGAAGCAGCAUAUCAGUAUUGGAAAUCCAUCAAGGCCACAUUUCUCAGCUGAUGGACUUAAAUAGGAUAAGUUCCCAGUAGGAACUGAUAAGGUUAGAGAUUAAGGGAAAAUUUUGAGAGGGGUAGUGAUACAGAGGCUGAGUUAAAUUUCUAAUUUAACAUUGUUAGGGACUGUUCCUGGGCUCUGAAAUGAAGUAACAUGACCUGACUUGUAUCUGUGCAGCAAAAGUCUCUUCUUACCCCCCAAAAAUAGGUGACUGUGUCCAAACUACCUAGUGAGAAUGGUUCCUGGAGCAGGCUGCCCUGUGAGCUCUGCCUCAGAGAGUGCUAAUUAGCCAUCGCAGGGAGAAGGCUAUCAGGUAAUUAAUAUGGAUGAUCACCAGUGUGGUGUUAGAGCUCACUCCCUGGCUCUGUUUCACUGAGCAGUUUAGCCAUAAACAAAGGUGCGCUCUUUGCAGUGAGCUGCUUUUCUCUGGAGGCUUCAGGCUCACUAAUGGGCAUUGCUGAUUGAACCGAAGUGGAGCUGUGCUUUAGUCUCCUUCACUGGGUGGUUUGUCCUGCUCCUCUUGUUUUGUUUCAGAGCCCAAAGGGAUGGGAACCUCUCUGUUGGAGUGGUGACAGGAUUGGUGUCUGGGCUGGCAGGGAAAGCACCACUCUGGACCUGCAUGAGAGCUUACUAUAAGAAGUGAAACAGAUGGCUAUUGAAAAAAAAAAAGGAAGCCACCAGACAAGAUGUUGCAGUCAAAAAUGAGAAGACAUUACAUGUGAUCACACAACAACAGAAAGAGCCAGAGAAGAGGUCAGCUGCAUAGUGCCUGAACUUCUGGAAGAACAGAAGACUGAUAGAUAAUGCCAUCCUCCUUUUAUUCAAGGAGUCAAGAAGACAGCCUGGAUUGCUAAAGCCCAGGAGGAUAAGGAAGGGGAAGAGAGUAAGCGAGAAUAGGAUAUAAACCCCUUUGUCUACUGAUGUUGCAUGCUCAGCAUCUCAAAACAGUACUGAGAAACAAAGAGGACCAAUAAGAACAAAAUGUUUCAGGAGAAAACAGCAAGAUAGAAAGAGAAAAUCAUCUCCUAUGAUCAGCUGUCGUGUGAAUGAAAACAUUAACAAAAUACUUAGCCAAGUUUUCACCUUUCUUGUAUUGUCAGUGUCCCUAGUCAAGUGUGUUGUACACCAAAUCCGAUUUAUCAGAGAAGCAGGUUGCUUCUGCCACUGUAAAAGUGGUAGAAUAAAAAGCAGAAGUGAAAGAAUAUUUUCUUUAAAACUAAAGUGCCUAUUAUCCAAAAGACAUGCAAAAAUGAGAUACAUAAUCCUUCCCUCUGAAAGGCUGGAUACCCCCAAGUAGACCAGUUCUACUUUUUGAGAUUAAAAGCUCAGAGAACCUUCAUGGAGAAAUCUGUACCUUCGGAAGGCAGAGUCCUUCAAGCUCCUGCAACACUUCCUUACUGACUGCUCUUCUUACAAACAGAAGUACAAACAACAAACCUCUUCUGUCUUCCCUGCUAUUGUACAGAUAUGUGUCUCUAUUUUAAAACAUUCAUGUUCCCUUAAUAUAUCCAGCCUUUUGCUCUUUAAAGAACUGUAUCUGUGUUUGUCUCUUUACUGUGCUUUCUUGCCACAGUGCCAGCCUGAAAUAUCAUACACCUUGCUGUUUGACAUGUAUCCGGCAUAGUGCAACUGACCUUUCUUCAGUAGGUUUUUCAGGAUACCUUCAACUUUCCGUUCUUGGUAACCUCAUUCACCUGUGACUGUAGGAAAAAUAAGCACAGACUCACUCUUCUUCUUUGAGUUAUAGUGUUGGGACUGUAACAAAACGUGAAGAGGAAAACAUGGUUUUGGUGUUAGUAAGCUGAGAUUAGUUCUUCUCUGAAACUAUUUCUUUGUUUCCACAAACUGCUCACCCUUCUCAUUAUCCUUCUGUCUUCUCUUGAAGAAGUAUUGGCAAAUGAGGAAAAGUAACCUAUUGGCAAACGUUCAUGUUAUAGUGUACGUCACACGGUGAAUCGUCAGGCUGAGUUACAGGGCAGCCCUGAAUUAUAGAAGUCAUCACUUUUCAAAUUUUGCAACACCUACCAUCCAUUUGAAUAACAAAAUUUAAUCCAUUAAGAAGUGUCGUUUGAUGUGCACCGCACUGCCCUCUCUAUCUCUUUACAUUUUACUACAAAAAUGUUCCACCUGUAGAAGAUACCUGAUAUCGUGUCUCUUCUUUCUCCUGCAUUAAUGUGUCUCUCAGGGCAUCCUCAGAGUCAUCUACUUGAAUUAUGAAUGUGAAUCUAAAAAUUGCAGGCACAGAAGUAAAGAUUACUCAAAUUGCAUUUAAUGCCUUCUAAUCCAGCUGUUCCACUAUGCAACUGUAUGUAAUUGUAUUCCAUAGGCUGGAGAGAGAACUGUCUUCUCAUAGAUUCUUGGACAGAGAAAGAAAAUACUCAAAAGCCCUAACUUGGGCCAUUAUGCCCAAAGUUCAGACUGAGGCCCUGACUCUGAACAACUUUGUCUCUUCCUCUGGAGGACACCUUACAUAGAUUUCU